rnacentral:rRNA from 1 species
UACGAAGGGGGCUAGCGUUGCUCGGAAUCACUGGGCGUAAAGCGCGCGUAGGCGGCUUUCUAAGUCAGGGGUGAAAUCCUGGAGCUCAACUCCAGAACUGCCUUUGAUACUGGAGAGCUUGAGUCCGGAAGAGGUGAGUGGAACUCCGAGUGUAGAGGUGAAAUUCGUAGAUAUUCGCAAGAACACCAGUGGCGAAGGCGGCUCACUGGCCCGGUACUGACGCUGAGGUGCGAAAGCGUGGGGAGCAAACAGG